rnacentral:misc_RNA from 1 species
GAUGAAGAACGCAGCGAAAUGCGAUAAGUAAUGUGAAUUGCAGAAUUCAGUGAAUCAUCGAAUCUUUGAACGCACAUUGCGCCCGCCAGUAUUCUGGCGGGCAUGCCUGUUCGAGCGUCAUUUCAACCAUCAAGCCCCCGGCUUGUGUUGGGGACCUGCGGCUGCCGCAGGCCCUGAAAAGCAGUGGCGGGCUCGCUGUCACACCGAGCGUAGUAGCAUACAUCUCGCUCUGGGCGUGCUGCGGGUUCCGGCCGUUAACCACCUUCAUAACCCAAGGUUGACCUCGGAUCAGGUAGGAAGACCCGCUGAACUUAAGCAUAUCAUAAGCGGAGGA